CAGAUCUGCUGGACAGAUGACUCUGGAGCCAAUUCACUGCUAAUGUCCACCUAUAUGUGAACAUUGACCCAUGGAGAAAAUCUCUCAACAGGGAGUACCAGGGCUGGAAAAUAUGACAUUAAAAGUCAGUUUCAGAAGACUGAAAGUGUCACACGGAAUGUAAUUGGUGCAUCUCCUGCUUUUCUUUCUCGAUCCCAGAGAUUUGUACCUAUGAAAUCAAUCACCCCAGCUCCUGGUACAUACAAUGAACCUCGAACUGCUUUCAAGACUUCAAAGAAAACACCAGGAUUGAAAAAUACUCCCUUUGGUCAAAGUGCUGCUCGAUUCACACAGGACUCCAUGGCAGAGGAAAUGCCAGGGAUCGAAUCAGGACUUUACACUUGCGAGGCAGACGGCGGAUCCACUGAGCUAAAUCCCCGGCCCACCUCUGGUUCAUUUUUAUACUAGACGGAAAAGGAAUAUUUAUGGUAUAGACAAAGAACAUAAAGAUUUGCAAGCAUUCCAUUACCCUAUUUUGUUUUUUGAUAAAGUUGACAGAUUUCAGGAUAGAUCUAUCCUAAAGGAUAGAUAGAUAGAUAGAUAGAUAGAGAUAAUUCCAGAUUGGAAUCACAGGUAUUCCUUGUUUAACAACCUACCUAGUUAACAACUGCUCAAACUUACGACCUGGGUAUACUGUUCAGUGUUAUACCGCUCAUCGGAUUUAUCACCCGUCUUUUUUUUUUCUUGUCCACUUCUGUACAUCUUGUUUCUAGAGCUUCAUAGUUUUUUUUUGUACAGUACACCUUGUCUACACAGUAUGAUGUUUUGCUAAUUGUACUGUACAGUCCUGUAGUUUUAUGUUCUGUUAUACGUUACAAUACUGCAUGAAAGAGUUAUGCAAAAUCAUCAAGUUGGAGUUUGCUUUGGCCAUUUCUUUGUUCUGAUACUGUAAUGUACAUACUGUAUACAAUUUCUCAUUUAGCGGCCAAUUCACUUAACGACCUAGUCACGACUUGGUCCUGAACAAGAAAUGUCUUUAAUUAAAACUCUGAAAGAACAAUAAAUUUAAUGAUAUAACAAUACUUCAUUUAAAUAAAAAACAAUAAACUUAAUUACUGUACCACAGAAAUAUAUGAGGUAAGAGACUAUCACAUCUGUCUUUUUCUCUAGAUCAUCCACCCCUUGGUGCUGGCUGUCUAGCACAUAGUGGUAGCCUCAUUAUUCAUCUUCCCAUUCUCAUGGCAAACUACUGUCAUGCUCCUCACUACCAGAAGUCAUCUAGAUUAUUUACAAGUGUCUCAGAUAUUUACUAGCAUCUAAAAUUUUUUCUACCAACAUGCUUACAACAUUCUAUCAUAAUCUGUGUACAAUAAAAUACAGAGGUAUAGUCACAGAUUUUGGAAUCAUGUAAAUGUAAGUUCAAGUUUCAGCUCUGUCAUUUACUAACUGUAAAAUAGUGAGCAAAUUAUUUCACAACAGUGAUUCCCAUUUUGCACAUUAAAAAAAGAACUUUUAAAAGGUGAUUAGGAAAAUUAAGUAAGAAAAUAUGACUAGUGUCAAAAUUAUUCAUCCGUUGAGCUUCAUAGCCUCACCUGUCUCCUCUAACCAUAAACAUUUGCAUAUCACCUGCUUAGCUUAAUCUCCCAGCUGCAAAAGGAAACUAGCUACAUUCUCAGGAGAGAGUAUUUGUUAAGGAUAUUACAGGGUCUCUAUCACAUGACUGAUAAGGAAGAUGUUGGUGGAAGUAUUAGAAAAUACUUCUGGGAGUAGCAGGAUAAGUGGAAUUUAAAAACUGUAAUGGACUAUUCAUUUGGAACUAUUUGGAACAAAGAGAAUCACAAGAAAGAAUCAAAAUACUAUUUUGGACUACCACUUUGACUAAAACAAGACAUUGGCAUAUUUUCUAGUCAAAAUGUAAAUUUCAUUUAACAUAAAAAAUACAAAAUAAAGUGACAGGUAAAAUGCAAGUUUAGUUUUUUUAAUUUUAAAAUAAAUCCAUGGAUAGGCAUACAGGGCCAAGAUGCAUCAUAGUAAGGAUCUUGAUUCAAAUAGGCCUGAGGUCCUUCCAUGAGGUGCUUAUCCUCAUUGUCCAUAAAAUGAAAGUCACUCCUCCAUUUGCAAGAAACUUCUUAGAGUACAGAAAGUCAGAAGCACAUAAAGAAAUAACUUAUUAAACAAAAGAGAAAACCAGACUUUAUUUCCAUUUUUUCCAUUUCUCAUCAUUUUUCCUUUCCCUUCUUUCCUUUCCCCUGCCCCUCCCACUACCCCUACCCCUUUGGACCUUUUCNNNNNNNNNNNNNNNNNNNNNNNNNNNNNNNNNNNNNNNNNNNNNNNNNNNNNNNNNNNNNNNNNNNNNNNNNNNNNNNNNNNNNNNNNNNNNNNNNNNNGGAAAAAAUAAGAACCAAGAUGCAUUAUGUAAAGGUACAAUUCCCAAUGAGAAAUGUAAUUGUGUCGUAUACCUAAAAUGUACCAAUAAAAGAAUUUAACAAAAAUAAAAAAUAAAAAAAAGAAAACCAGGC
rnacentral:lncRNA from 1 species